rnacentral:rRNA from 1 species
UUUUAUGGAGAGUUUGAUCCUGGCUCAGGACGAACGCUGGCGGCGUGCUUAACACAUGCAAGUCGAACGGUAAGGCCCUUUCGGGGGUACACGAGUGGCGAACGGGUGAGUAACACGUGGGUGACCUGCCCUGUACUUCGGGAUAAGCCUGGGAAACUGGGUCUAAUACCGGAUAUGACCUUCUCCUGCAUGGGGGUUGGUGGAAA